rnacentral:rRNA from 1 species
CCUACGGGGGGCAGCAGUGAGGAAUAUUGGUCAAUGGGCGGAAGCCUGAACCAGCCAAGUAGCGUGCAGGAUGACGGCCCUACGGGUUGUAAACUGCUUUUAUCCGGGAAUAACGCGCCUUACGUGUAGGGCUUUGCAUGUACCUUAUGAAUAAGGACCGGCUAAUUCCGUGCCAGCCGCCGCGGUAAUACGGAAGGUCCGGGCGUUAUCCGGAUUUAUUGGGUUUAAAGGGAGCGUAGGCCGGAUGUCAAGCGUGCUGUGAAAUGUCCGGGCGCAACCCGGGCCUUGCAGCGCGUACUGGCGUGCUUGAGUCCGCGGAAGGCAGGCGGAAUUCGUCGUGUAGCGGUGAAAUGCUUAGAUAUGACGAAGAACCCCGAUUGCGAAGGCAGCUUGCUGCAGCGGAACUGACGCUGAUGCUCGAAAGCGCGGGUAUCGAACAGGAUUAGAUACCCGUGUAGUC